UGAGGAAUAUUGCACAAUGGGGGCAACCCUGAUGCAGCAACGCCGCGUGGAGGAUGAAGGUCUUUGGAUUGUAAACUCCUUUUCUGCGGGACGAGGAAGGACGGUACCGCAGGAAUAAGUCACGGCUAACUACGUGCCAGCAGCCGCGGUAAUACGUAGGUGGCGAGCGUUAUCCGGAAUUACUGGGCGUAAAGCGCACGCAGGCGGCAUGCCAAGUCUGGCGUAAAAUCUCCCGGCUUAACUGGGAGGGGUCGUUGGAAACUGGCAGGCUUGAGGCGAUGAGAGGGACAUGGAAUUCCCGGUGUAGUGGUGGAAUGCGUAGAUAUCGGGAGGAACACCAGAGGCGAAAGCGGUGUCCUGGCAUUGGCCUGACGCUCAUGUGCGAAAGCGUGGGGAGCGAACGGG
rnacentral:rRNA from 1 species